UACAGAGGGGGCAAGCGUUGUUCGGAAUUACUGGGCGUAAAGGGCGCGUAGGCGGCCUUCUAAGUCGAACGUGAAAUCCCCGGGCUCAACCCGGGAACUGCGUCCGAUACUGGAAGGCUUGAAUCCGGGAGAGGGAUGCGGAAUUCCUGGUGUAGCGGUGAAAUGCGUAGAGAUCAGGAGGAACACCAAUGGCGAAGGCAGCUCUCUGGCUUCACCCUGACGCUGAGGCGCGAAAGCGUGGGGAGCGAACGGG
rnacentral:rRNA from 1 species